AUGGAGCAGGGAUAUCGCAUGCACAGAGCAGAGACGUCGACGUCGGUCACCUACCCCAUCGUGCCGUGCUGCGGCGCCGGCGCCCGGGGCGGCCCCGCCGUGCUGGCCUGCUUCGCGAUGGGCCCCAACCCGGCCGAAAUCGGCCCGGAGGGGCUCCCGGCGGCGGCCGUGGCGCCCGUCGUCCUCCCGGUGCAGCCGCGCUCCGCCAGCCUCGGCGCCAGGAGGUGGCUCACGGUGCUCUGGGACGCCGAGCGGCACAGCGGGCUGCGCUGCAGCGUGAGCGGCGGAGGCGGCCGGUCCUCGUCCAAGGCCUUCCCGUCGGACGUGUGCCUGGCGUCGCAGCCGAGGCCCCGGGUGCACCUCGUGGAGCCGCCGUGCCAGGCCGCUGAGGGCUCAGCGGCGCUGGAGCUGGUCUGCAUCGUCUGGGGCUUCGGGGCCAGAGAGACCAAGGUGACCUGGCUGCUCAACGGGAAGGAGGUCUCGGAGGUGCAAGGGUCCCUCAGCAAGGGUGAGGACGGCUCGACCAGCAGCUACAACCGGCUGGAGAUCACCCAUGACAGCUGGGACAGCGGGAACAUCUACACCUGCCAGGUGACCUACUUGGAUGGAAACAGUGACGUGGAGAUGUACAACACCAGCAGGUGCCAAGCCUGCCUCGGCCGCUCGGUGACGCCCCAGGUCUUCGUGACGCCGCCGUCCUUCGGCGACGUGCUCUCCGGGUCCGCCAUGGCCACCUGCCUGCUGCUGGGCUGGCCCCUGCGGGGCGCCAAGCUCUCCUGGCACGCGGAGGGGAGCAGCUGGCCGGGGACCGCCACGGGCACCGCCACCCCGCACGCCAACGGCACCGAGAGCCUGCGGGCCGCCUUCCCCGUGUCCCCGGAGCAGUGGAGCGCCGGCCUGAAGCUCGUCUGCCGCGCCGAGCUGCCCUGCCACGGGACCCUCUCCGAGGCGCUCGCCGUGGGGCCGGCACCGGGGCCCAGGACGGUGCCGGCGGUGAGCGUCUCCCGCGCCGCCCGCGAGGGCCCCGGGCCGAGCGCGCCGGCGACGCUGCUGCUCUGCGAAGCCAGCGGCUUCUCCCCGCGGGACAUCAGCAUCCGCUGGGAGAGGGACGGCGCCGAGGAGCCCCGCGCCCGCUACGCCGGCGGCCCCGUGGCCGGCGACGGCCCCUUCUCCACCCACAGCGUCCUCUGGGCCGGGCAGGAGGCGGCGAAUUACACCUGCGUCGUGCAGCACCCGGCCCUGGACGAGCCGCUGCGUGUCACCCGCCGCGCCGGAUCCCCCGGCGCCCGGCCGCCGCGGGUCUCCGUGUCCCACGGCCCCGGCGGCGGCGGCGAGACGCUCACCUGCUUUGCCACGGGCUUCUACCCGCCGGAGGUGGAAAUGCGCUGGGCGGCGGCGGGCGGCCGGCGGCUGGGCUGCGUCAGCGAGCGGGCGGCGCUGCCCGACGGCACCUUCCAGCAGCGCUGCACGGCCACGGUGGGCGCCGAGGAGUGGCGGGCCGGCGGCGCCUACGCCUGCACCGUGACCCACGGGCAGUGGGUGGAGGAGAAGACGCUCGCCCACCCCGGUUGCCAGAAGUCACUGCUGUCCUCUUCGUCGGUGCAGCCGCCGCCUUUCCGGGAGCUCUUCCUGCACGGGGCGGCCAACCUGACGUGCAGCACGCCGCUGGGCAACGCCAGCCUGGCCUGGCUGGUGCAGGGGCGGCAGGCGGAGGCCGGGGCGGUGCGGACGCAGCCCGGCGCCGAGGGCACGGGGCUCCGCAGCUGGCUCCGCGUCAGCCUGCGCGACUGGAACGACACCGUCAGCUUCGCCUGCCGUGUCCGCAGCGGCGCCGAGGAGACGCAGCUGGAGCUCAACCGGAUCAUGGGUCCCUUGAAGCCGCCGACCCUCCACGUGCUGCCGUCGUCGGUGGCGGAGGCCUGCGGCAGCAGCAACUUCACCCUCUUCUGCAUCGCCGCCGAUUUCUACCCGCCGGAGAUCGCCGUGUGGUGGCAGCGCGGCGGCGGUGGCGGCGGCGGGGGCCCGGCCGGCGAGGCCGCUCGAGGUGGCCCGGAGCGAGUGGGCCGGCGGCACCUCGUUCGGCUGCUUCGCCGCCCACAUCGCCGCCGCCGCGGUGGCCGGCCGGACCGUCGGCGCCGGCGCCGGUAA